AUGCCCGUCCUCCCUGAAGAAGAGGAGGAUUCCCCUGAGGAGCUCGACAGUUCCUCCAGCUCACCCAGCACAUAUACACCAGCUGAAAGUAGAGCAGUUACCGUGGAGAUGCCUGCUCCCACCAUUGUCUUCCCAAAGCAAGCGACCGUGACCGUGGUCCAAGCAGACGGUCGCCCUCUGGAACAGACCAGACCACACAGUCCCAGACCUCGCUUGUCCCGAAACGCCCUGGGAGGACCCAUCACUACUGUCGGUGGGUACAGUCAAAUACUUAAAGGCUAAAUAUAGCCUCGUGUUUACAAAACGUACAUAAGUCCAUUGUUCAAAAUGUGAGUUCCAUUCAGAUUUUCUUUCUUCAUAACAUUGUAUGGCUAAUUUAAUUCCAUCUAUUGAAAUGUAUAAGUUUGGUCAUCAGUGUCUGACAGCAUACAGAACUGGGGCCCUUUGUCCUUAGAAAAUCAGAGCCAAAGCUCUCAGUGCCGGGAUGCUUCUGCUUUGAUUACUAUUGAUGUUGGCCUGUUGCUCUGUGCUGAGCUCAGAGAGAAGACUAUUG
rnacentral:lncRNA from 13 species